rnacentral:miRNA from 1 species
AUGCGCAUCAGGAAUACACACA